rnacentral:RNase_P_RNA from 1 species
GGAAGGAAGCUCACUGUAGAGGUCACUCGCUGGGUGUCUUGAUCACCCCCGUUGCUACCUUGGGGAAGGUCUGAGAGAAGGGCCAAGUGUCGUCCUAGCAGGGCGCCAUCUUAGGAAGGUGGGUGAGUUCCCAGCAAUAUGGAUCUCCAGUAAAGCCCUACUUUGAGGCAGGAGAAGCAGGGCUGGGGGGGUUCCCUCCUCCCUGCGGAUGCCUCCGUGGCUUACUCGGGGUUUGGGAAUGACUCACGGCCGGCAACGUUGAGUACAAUGGGCAGAGGUGGAGCACCCGCUUCAUAACCCAAUUCAGACCACUCUCCGGAAUUCC